rnacentral:rRNA from 1 species
GAUGAACGCUGGCGGCGUGCCUAAUACAUGCAAGUCGAGCGAACAGAUGAGGAGCUUGCUCCUCUGGCGUUAGCGGCGGACGGGUGAGUAACACGUGGAUAACCUACCUAUAAGACUGGGAUAACUUCGGGAAACCGGAGCUAAUACCGGAUAAUAUAUUGAACCGCAUGGUUCAAUAGUGAAAGACGGUUUUGCUGUCACUUAUAGAUGGAUCCACGCCGCAUUAGCUAGUUGGUAAGGUAACGGCUUACCAAGGCAACGAUGCGUAGCCGACCUGAGAGGGUGAUCGGCCACACUGGAACUGAGACACGGUCCAGACUCCUACGGGAGGCAGCAGUAGGGAAUCUUCCGCAAUGGGCGAAAGCCUGACGGAGCAACGCCGCGUGAGUGAUGAAGGUCUUCGGAUCGUAAAACUCUGUUAUUAGGGAAGAACAAAUGUGUAAGUAACUAUGCACGUCUUGACGGUACCUAAUCAGAAAGCCACGGCUAACUACGUG